CCGACGGUGAGAGGUGAAAGCUGGGGGAGCAAACCGGAUUAGAUACCCGGGUAGUCCCAGCUGUAAACUAUGCAAACUCAGUGAUGCAUUGGCUUGUGGCCAAUGCAGUGCUGCAGGGAAGCCGUUAAGUUUGCCGCCUGGGAAGUACGUACGCAAGUAUGAAACUUAAAGGAAUUGGCGGGGGAGCACCACAAGGGGUGAAGCCUGCGGUUCAAUUGGAGUCAACGCCAGAAAUCUUACCCGGAGAGACAGCAGAAUGAAGGUCAAGCUGAAGACUUUACCAGACAAGCUGAGAGGUGGUGCAUGGCCGUCGCCAGCUCGUGCCGUGAGAUGUCCUGUUAAGUCAGGUAACGAGCGAGAUCCCUGCCUCUAGUUGCCACCAUUACUCUCAGGAGUAGUGGGGCGAAUUAGCGGGACCGCCGCAGUUAAUGCGGAGGAAGGAAGGGGCCACGGCAGGUCAGUAUGCCCCGAAACUCUGGGGCCACACGCGGGCUGCAAUGGUAACGACAAUUGGUUUCGAAUCCGAAAGGAUGAGGUAAUCCUCAAACGUUACCACAGUUAUGACUGAGGGCUGCAACUCGCCCUCACGAAUAUGGAAUCCCUAGUAACUGCGUGUCAUUAUCGCGCGGUGAAUACGUCCCUGCUCCUUGCACACACCGCCCGA
rnacentral:rRNA from 1 species